CCAGACUCCUACGGGAGGCAGCAGUGGGGGAUAUUGGACAAUGGGGGAAACCCUGAUCCAGCGACGCCGCGUGAGUGAAGAAGUAUUUCGGUAUGUAAAGCUCUGUCAGCAGGGAAGAAAGAAAUGACGGUACCUGAAGAAGGAGCCCCGGCUAACUACGUGCCAGCAGCCGCGGUAAUACGUAGGGGGCAAGCGUUAUCCGGAUUUACUGGGUGUAAAGGGGGCGCAGACGGCGAUGCAAGCCAGGAGUGAAAGCCCGGGGCCCAACCCCGGGACUGCUCUUGGAACUGCGUGGCUGGAGUGCAGGAGGGGCAGGCGGAAUUCCUAGUGUAGCGGUGAAAUGCGUAGAUAUUAGGAGGAACACCAGUGGCGAAGGCGGCCUACUGGACGGUGACUGACGCUGAGGCUCGAAAGCGUGGGGAGCAAACAGGAUUAGAUACCCGAGUA
rnacentral:rRNA from 1 species